UCGAUCGAUCGCAGGAUUAGCGCUAAAUCCUUCGACUUCGAUAUUCGAAUAUUUUUAACUUCGAAAUUCGACCCUUAGUGAAUCUGCCCCUAAAUACUUUGAUUAUAUUUAGAAUGGUAUUUGUAAAUGAACGCACUGUAAUACCAAUGGACUAAUAAUAUUGAGGUGCAAAAAAUAGCAUUUUUCAUGCAUUUUUCAAGCCGUGUGCUCCUCCUUGAGUAUAGAAAACAAUUUGUGUAAUAUUUUGCAUGCAUCUUGCAAAACAUAAGCAUAAGAAAACUAAUAGCAUAGGGUUUUAAGCACAGGCAGAAAAAAAGUAUCCAUUCAUUAUACUUUAAAAGUUGAUUCAUAGACAUUUACACAUCACCAUAUAACUUAAAUAUUUUGCUUGUUAAAAGUCUUUAUAUUUGAAUAAAUAUAAUACUUUUCAAAUA